rnacentral:rRNA from 1 species
CGAACGCUGGCGGCGUGCCUAAUACAUGCAAGUCGAACGCACUCUCGUUUAGAUUGAAGGAGCUUGCCCUGAUUGAUAAACAUUUGAGUGAGUGGCGACGGGUGAGUAACACGUGGGUAACCUGCCUAAAGUGGGGAUAACAUUUGGAAACAGAUGCUAAUACCGCAUAAAACCUAACACCGCAUGGUGUAGGGUUGAAAGAUGGUUUCGGCUAUCACUUUAGGAUGGACCCGCGGUGCAUUAGUUAGUUGGUGAGGUAAAGGCUCACCAAGACCGUGAUGCAUAGCCGACCUGAGAGGUAAUCGGCCACACUGGGACUGAGACACGGCCCAGACUCCUACGGGAGGCAGCAGUAGGGAAUCUUCCACAAUGGACGAAAGUCUGAUGGAGCAACGCCGCGUGAGUGAAGAAGGUUUUCGGAUCGUAAAACUCUGUUGUUGGAGAAGAAUGUAUCUGAUAGUAACUGAUCAGGUAGUGACGGUAUCCAACCAGAAAGCCACGGCUAACUACGUG